AGUGGCUUGGAUGUGGGGGCUUGCUGGCCUCUUAAAAGGUUCAGCUCCCCUGAAAUGCAUUAGUGGAACGACCUGUUCAUUCAUUGGUGUGAUAACUAUCUACGCUAUUGAACGUGAGGCAGUUCAGCUUUCUAACUGUCCUUGGACAAUUCAUUGUUGUAUGUGACCUCAAAUCAGGUAGGACUACCCGCUGAACUUAA
rnacentral:misc_RNA from 1 species